AAGAAAAAGAUGUGUCUGUAGUUAAAAUUACCUCAUCUUUGGUGUUUUUCAGCUUAGGAUCACUAUGUGGAACUAAUGCUAUUACAUUACAACCAUUCUUGAAGACUAAUUAGUUACACUGGACAUGCUGCUGUUCUUUGCUUUGGGAUUGCUUGUACAUUUUGUGUUCUUUGCCUCCAUCUUUGAUAUUUAUUUUACAUCUCCUCUGGUUCAUGGAAUGACUCCUCAGUUUACACCAUUGCCUCCUCCAGCGAGAAGAUUAGUGUUGUUUGUUGCUGAUGGCCUUCGAGCAGACGCACUUUACGAAUUAGAUGAAAAUGGAAACUCUAGAGCACCGUUUAUUAGGAAUAUAAUAAUGCAUGAAGGCAGCUGGGGCAUAUCUCAUACACGUGUGCCAACAGAAUCUCGGCCAGGUCACGUAGCCCUGAUAGCCGGGUUUUAUGAAGAUGUCAGUGCAGUUGCCAAAGGAUGGAAGGAAAAUCCUGUAGAAUUUGAUUCUCUUUUUAAUGAAAGUAAAUACACAUGGAGCUGGGGAAGCCCAGAUAUUCUGCCUAUGUUUGCCAAAGGUGCUAGUGGAGACCACGUUUACACAUAUAGUUAUGAUUCUAAGAGACAGGAUUUUGGUGCUCACGAUGCAACAAAACUGGAUACGUGGGUUUUUGAUAAUGUUAAGGACUUCUUUCAUCAUGCCAGAAACAACCAGUCUUUGCUUUCUAAAAUAAAUGAAGAGAAGAUAGUUUUUUUCUUACAUUUAUUAGGAAUAGAUACAAAUGGACAUGCUCAUCGACCAUCCUCAAGGGACUACAAGGACAAUAUUAAAAAAGUUGAUGAUGGAGUCAAAGAAAUCGUGUCUAUGUUUAACCAUUUCUAUGGAAAUGAUGGGAAAACAACAUUUAUCUUUACCUCUGACCAUGGAAUGACAGACUGGGGUUCCCAUGGGGCUGGUCAUCCUUCAGAGACUUUAACUCCUUUAGUCACUUGGGGAGCUGGAAUCAAGUAUCCCCAAAGAGUAUCAGCUCAGCAAUUUGAUGAUGCAUUUUUGAAAGAGUGGAGAUUGGAGAACUGGAAGAGGCUAGAUGUCAAUCAGGCUGAUAUUGCACCAUUGAUGACUUCCCUUAUUGGAGUUCCCUUUCCUCUUAAUUCAGUGGGAAUCCUUCCUGUGGAUUAUCUUAACAACACUGAUCUCUUCAAAGCAGAGAGCAUUUUUACAAAUGCAGUACAGAUUCUUGAACAGUUCAAGGUGAAAAUGACUCAGAAAAAAGAAGCCACUUUACCAUUUUUGUUUACGCCAUUUAAGUCACUUUCUGAUUCCAAAGAGUUCGACAUUUUAAGAAAAGCAAGAUCUUAUAUAAAACACAGAAAGUUUGACGAAGCUGUCUCCCUUUGCAAGGAGCUAAUUCAUCUUGCGUUGAAAGGAUUGUCCUAUUAUCACACAUAUGACAGAUUCUUUUUGGGCAUCAAUAUUGCUAUUGGUUUUGUGGGAUGGAUCUCUUAUGCUUCGUUGUUGAUCAUCAAGUCUCAUUCCAACCUUAUAAGAAGUGUUAGUAAAGAAGUUAAGAAACCAAGCCAUCUCCUGCCAUGUAGUUUUAUAGCUAUUGGCAUUUUAGUAGCAUUUUUUCUGCUGAUUCAAGCCUGUCCCUGGACAUAUUAUGUAUAUUGUUUGUUGCCAGUGCCAAUAUGGUAUGCAGUUCUAAGAGAAUUUCAGGUUAUUCAAGACCUUGUCGCAUCACUGUUGACCUAUCCUCUGAGCCAUUUUGUUGGGUACCUGUUAGUCUUUAGCCUGGGAACUGAAGUAUUAGUUCUCAGUUUUUUCUACCGUUAUAUGCUUACCAUUGGACUUACUGCCUUUGCAGCUUGGCCGUUUCUCACUCAGCUCUGGACUCGAGCAAAGGUGACAUCACUGAGUUGGACUUUCUUCUCUUUGCUCCUGGCAGUGUUCCCACUGAUGCCGGUUGUAGGUCGAAAGCCAGACAUCUCUCUAGUGAUGGGUGCAGGCUUGCUGGUUCUUCUGCUAUCCCUGUAUGUUGUAACAUCUCUCACAAAAAGAAAAGAUAGCUUUACAAAGGAGGAGCUAUUGGUACAUCUAUUACAGGUCCUGAGCACAGUGCUCUCCAUGUAUGUUGUGUAUAGCACCCAGAGUAGUCUACUCAGGAAGCAAGGACUGCCUCUUAGGAAUCAGAUUAUUAGCUGGGCAACAUUAGCCUCUUCCUUGAUUGUGCCACUACUGAGUUCUCCAGCUCUCUUUCAGCGAUUGUUCAGCAUACUUCUUUCAUUGAUGUCAACCUACCUACUUCUAAGCACAGGGUAUGAAGCUCUCUUUCCACUAGUAUUGUCUUGUUUAAUGUUUGUCUGGAUAAACAUAGAACAAGAAACCCUACAACAAUCUGGUGUUUCCUGUAAACAGAAGCUUACUAGUAUCCAGUUCUCUUAUAACACUGAUAUAACUCAGUUUCGGCAGCUGUGUCUGGAUGACAUCCGUAGGGCCUUUUUCCUUGUUUUCUUCUUAGUGACAGCAUUUUUUGGAACUGGAAAUAUAGCUUCUAUUAACAGCUUUGAUCUUGCCUCUGUCUAUUGCUUUCUGACUGUGUUCAGUCCUUUCAUGAUGGGAUCCCUGAUGAUGUGGAAGAUUUUAAUCCCCUUUGUUCUUGUUAUGUGUGCCUUCGAAGCAGUUCAGUUCACUACUCAGUUAUCGUCAAAAAGCCUUUUUCUCAUUGUUCUCGUCAUAUCAGACAUUAUGGCUUUGCAUUUUUUCUUCUUGGUCAAGGAUUAUGGCAGCUGGCUUGAUAUUGGGACAAGCAUCAGCCACUAUGUAAUUGUCAUGUCCAUGACCAUCUUUUUGGUGUUCCUCAAUGGCCUGGCCCAGCUGCUCACAACAAGGAAACUCAGACUAUGUGGCAAACCCAAAAGUCACUUGAUGUGAUGUUGCUGAAACACCAUUCGGCAUCUGGAUCCUGAUUCUCCUUUUAAACUAAAAUCUCAUCAAGGAUUCAAUCAGAAGAUGAGUAUUAAUGGAUAAUAUAUUCUACUCCUGUAAGGACAAUUGUAUUUGGCAUUCUGAAUUGACAGGUUAUCUGGAACAAAGGAGCUUCUUUUCUUUUUUCUAGGUUUUGCAGGCAUGAAAUAAUGAUUAUAUCUGUGGAAAAGCAUAGGAAGACAUUCUCCAUUUUCAUUUUUUUCCUUUAGCUGGCAGCUUUUCCUAGUGAUGUUUAGAGCACCUGCAACAAUCUGGUCCCCAACCACACAACUUCCCACAUACCCAAAGGAGAACAUAUGCCUGUGGGGGCAGUGCUGAUGGCAUCCAGAAUCAUUGCCGUGGCUGAACUGGAAGGAAAUCACCAGAUUAGUGAGUCUAUAGAAUGGGUUGAACUUGCUUCUGACAGUAUCGUAGAGUUUGUGUUGUGUACCUGCAGCACGGGCUUGCCUCGCUGCACCGUAGCUGGCCCCUUCAGACUCAACGUAGGAACAGGCCUUUUCUGUUGCAGUUUCUCAGGUAUCUUUAAAUGUUUUGAAAUGCAUAUUUUUAUAUUGAAAAACAGAGAAAAAAGAAACAAGAGUUAGGGAAAAAGUAUUUCUAUUUAAGGUAUUUAUUUUGUCAUUCUACCUAUGCCAUAGAUUUCCCAAUCAAGACUUAGGACAUUUGAUGAUUACUAGUGUUUAAAUUAAGAAUUGUUAUAAGAAUUAAAAUGGGCAGAACAAAUUGUGAAAAUACUGAACCAAAAAAAAAGGCCAUGCUGUAAUCUUAGAGGGCCCGUGAAUAAAUCUUAGAGGGAACGCUAAGACUACAGGAAACGACUGCAGCUUGUGUGUCAUUUCCCAGUAUGUUAACUAUUGUAUUUAGUGUACACUAUUUAGAAUACAAAAUGCAUUUUUAUUUUUUAUGAAAAUAAUGUUAUUGAUAACAUAUUUUCAUUGUAAUGUGUUCAAAAUUAUUUAUUAAUGAUGGAGCUGAAUUAGAAAAGCCCUUCAUUCCUUAUAAUACUGUUUCUCAUGAAAAAUUGUUACAAAUUUCAGCCAACUGAUAUUAAGCACAUCAGUGUCAACCCUUCUCCCCUCCUGCCACCUUUAUACAUUUGUUUUGGUAGACUAGGGGCUCCUUUUCUCCUCCUUUUUGACAUAUAACUGUGCCGGUAAAAGCACGAUUUCUGAUGCAGCUGGCCUAGAGGGAAUGAAGGAGACGCGUGGGUGUGGUCCCUGGGACAGGCGUAGCUGCUGCAGAGCUUCCCUGUGCUUGGGAGAAUCGAGGGAGCUCCCGUAUUCACACUAGAUGCCGUCUUGGGACUGAAGAGAAUGGACCUAAAUCAACUCUGUCAUUUGGAGAAGCCCCUGUUUGACCAGUUCUGAGAACUCUUUUCUUUGAGAGACCAGAGUAACUUGGUCAUUUCUCGCCUUUUCAUAGUUGUUCUUUUUAUGUUGACAUUCCCCUUACUGUAUUUAAAAUGCUUCAAAGUAUUAAUGAUUGUUAUGCUGUGUGCUUUCAGUACGAUGGUCAUAUCUUUUUAGCAUUUUCCCAUUUCUGUAUCAGCAUGGUUUUUUGUUUUGCUUUUUUUGUUUUUGUUUUGAGACAUG